UGGCGAUAUCACAUGAAAACAUCGGUUCUAGUUCGAUCACCGAAGUCAAGCAACGGCGAGACUGGUCAGAACCUAGAUUGGUGACCGCUUGGGAAUAACAGGUGCUGUAGG
rnacentral:rRNA from 1 species